rnacentral:rRNA from 1 species
GAACGGGUGAGGAACACGUGAGAAACCUGCCUUUCAUUCUGGGAUAACACCGGGAAACCGGUGCUAAUACCGGAUACUCCAUCUUGGCGGCAUCGCCGAGCUGGGAAAAAAUUUUGAUGAAAGAUGGUCUCGCGGCCUAUCAGCUAGUUGGCGGGGUAAUGGCCCACCAAGGCAACGACGGGUAGCCGGCCUGAGAGGGCGACCGGCCACACUGGGACUGAGACACGGCCCAGACUCC